rnacentral:rRNA from 1 species
UACGAAGGGGGCUAGCGUUGCUCGGAAUCACUGGGCGUAAAGCGCACGUAGGCGGCUUUUUAAGUCAGGGGUGAAAUCCUGGAGCUCAACUCCAGAACUGCCUUCGAUACUGAGAGUCUCGAGUCCGAGAGAGGUGAGUGGAACUGCGAGUGUAGAGGUGAAAUUCGUAGAUAUUCGCAAGAACACCAGUGGCGAAGGCGGCUCACUGGCUCGGUACUGACGCUGAGGUGCGAAAGCGUGGGGAGCAAACAGG